rnacentral:lncRNA from 1 species
UCUAAAAAGGAAGUCUGGCCAUACCCUGGAUGUCUGAGCUGGCAGCACAACCCAGUGGAUAUUCCAGUCACUCAUGGGGCAGGGAGUGUGCCCCACAGACGCUCGAAUGGUCCAGAAGAACUGGCUCCGGGUGAGAAAAAAAGCAUAGCCCGCCUGGCUGUACAACUGCAAAGGGGACAUGGUCCAGCUGCUGUGGACAUCACUGAACAGGCACAGCAUGGCAGGUGCUGGGAGCAGUCACACAGUGGGCAGCUAGAACCUUCUCCCUGCUGCUAUGAGAGCAACACUGAUUGGAACUGGACACUGUUACUGAUGUUACCAAACACAAAGUCCACUCCUGAAG